CGACUACAUCACGUCGAAACACCGCUCCCCAUAUGAUCACCAAAGUUAAACAACGUCGAGCAUGGUCAAUAACUAGAUGGGUGACCGUUCGGGAAUACCAUGUGAUGUAAG